rnacentral:rRNA from 1 species
UACGUAGGGUGCAGGCGUUAAUCGGAAUUACUGGGCGUAAAGCGUGCGCAGGCGGUGAUGUAAGACAGAUGUGAAAUCCCCGGGCUCAACCUGGGAACUGCAUUUGUGACUGCAUCGCUGGAGUGCGGCAGAGGGGGGAUGGAAUUCCGCGUGUAGCAGUGAAAUGCGUAGAUAUGCGGAGGAACACCGAUGGCGAAGGCAAUCCCCGUGGGCCUGCACUGACGCUCAUGCACGAAAGCGUGGGGAGCAAACAGG